rnacentral:rRNA from 1 species
UCCGUAGGCGGGCUAAUAAGUCAGGGGUGAAAUCCAACAGCUUAACUGUUGAACUGCCUUUGAUACUGUUAGUCUUGAAUUAUAUGGAAGUAGAUAGAAUGUGUAGUGUAGCGGUGAAAUGCUUAGAGAUUACACAGAAUACCGAUUGCGAAGGCAGUCUACUACAUAUAUAUUGACGCUAAUGGACGAAAGCGUGGGGAGCGAUCAGGAUUAGAUACCCUGGUAGUCC